rnacentral:rRNA from 1 species
GACGAACGCUGGCGGCGUGCCUAAUACAUGCCAGUAGAACGCUGAAGCUUGGUGCUUGCACCGAGCGGAUGAGUUGCGAACGGGUGAGUAACGCGUAGGUAACCUGCCUGGUAGCGGGGGAUAACUAUUGGAAACGAUAGCUAAUACCGCAUAAGAGUAGAUGUUACAUGACAUUUGCUUAAAAGGUGCAAUUGCAUCACUACCAGAUGGACCUGCGUUGUAUUAGCUAGUUGGUGAGGUAACGGCUCACCAAGGCAACGAUACAUAGCCGACCUGAGAGGGUGAUCGGCCACACUGGGACUGAGACACGGCCCAGACUCCUACGGGAGGCAGCAGUAGGGAAUCUUCGGCAAUGGACGGAAGUCUGACCGAGCAACGCCGCGUGAGUGAAGAAGGUUUUCGGAUCGCAAAGCUCUGUUGUAAGAGAAGAACGAGUGUGAGAGUGGAAAGUUCACACUGUGACGGUAUCUUACCAGAAAGGGUCGGCUAACUACGUG